UACGAAGGUGGCAAGCGUUACUCGGAAUUACUAGGCGUAAAGGGCAGGUAGGCGGUCUUGUUAGUCUGUUGUGAAAGCUCCUUGCUUAACGGGGAGAGGCCAACAGAUACUGCGAGGCUUGAGUAUAGGAGAGGGUACUGGAAUUCCCGGUGUAGCGGUGAAAUGCGCAGAGAUCGGGAGGAACACCAAUGGCGAAGGCGGCCAACUGGACGAAUACUGACGCUGAGACACGAAAGCGUGGGGAGCAAACAGG
rnacentral:rRNA from 1 species